rnacentral:rRNA from 1 species
AUUGAACGCUGGCGGCAGGCCUAACACAUGCAAGUCGAGCGGUUGCACAGAGAGCUUGCUCUCGGGUGACGAGCGGCGGACGGGUGAGUAAUGUCUGGGAAACUGCCUGAUGGAGGGGGAUAACUACUGGAAACGGUAGCUAAUACCGCAUAACGUCGCAAGACCAAAGUGGGGGACCUUCGGGCCUCAUGCCAUCAGAUGUGCCCAGAUGGGAUUAGCUGGUAGGUGGGGUAACGGCUCACCUAGGCGACGAUCCCUAGCUGGUCUGAGAGGAUGACCAGCCACACUGGAACUGAGACACGGUCCAGACUCCUACGGGAGGCAGCAGUGGGGAAUAUUGCACAAUGGGCGCAAGCCUGAUGCAGCCAUGCCGCGUGUGUGAAGAAGGCCUUCGGGUUGUAAAGCACUUUCAGCGGGGAGGAAGGCGAUAAGGUUAAUAACCUUGUCGAUUGACGUUACCCGCAGAAGAAGCACCGGCUAACUCCGUGCCAGCAGCCGCGGUAAUACGGAGGGUGCAAGCGUUAAUCGGAAUUACUGGGCGUAAAGCGCACGCAGGCGGUCUGUCAAGUCGGAUGUGAAAUCCCCGGGCUCAACCUGGGAACUGCAUUCGAAACUGGCAGGCUAGAGUCUUGUAGAGGGGGGUAGAAUUCCAGGUGUAGCGGUGAAAUGCGUAGAGAUCUGGAGGAAUACCGGUGGCGAAAGCGGCCCCCUGGACAAAGACUGACGCUCAGUGCGAAAGCGUGGGGAGCAAACAGGAUUAGAUACCCUGGUAGUCCACGCUGUAAACGAUGUCGAUUUGGAGGUUGUGCCCUUGAGGCGUGGCUUCCGGAGCUAACGCGUUAAAUCGACCGCCUGGGGAGUACGGCCGCAAGGUUAAAACUCAAAUGAAUUGACGGGGGCCCGCACAAGCGGUGGAGCAUGUGGUUUAAUUCGAUGCAACGCGAAGAACCUUACCUGGUCUUGACAUCCACAGAACUUAGCAGAGAUGCUUUGGUGCCUUCGGGAACUGUGAGACAGGUGCUGCAUGGCUGUCGUCAGCUCGUGUUGUGAAAUGUUGGGUUAAGUCCCGCAGCGAGCGCAACCCUUAUCCUUUGUUGCCAGCGGUUAGGCCGGGAACUCAAAGGAGACUGCCAGUGAUAAACUGGAGGAAGGUGGGGAUGACGUCAAGUCAUCAUGGCCCUUACGACCAGGGCUACACACGUGCUACAAUGGCAUAUACAAAGAGAAGCGACCUCGCGAGAGCAAGCGGACCUCAUAAAGUAUGUCGUAGUCCGGAUUGGAGUCUGCAACUCGACUCCAUGAAGUCGGAAUCGCUAGUAAUCGUAGAUCAGAAUGCUACGGUGAAUACGUUCCCGGGCCUUGUACACACCGCCCGUCACACCAUGGGAGUGGGUUGCAAAAGAAGUAGGUAGCUUAACCUUCGGGAGGGCGCUUACCACUUUGUGAUUCAUGACUGGGGUG